rnacentral:rRNA from 1 species
GUGCACCAGUCGCGAAUAUUCCGCAAUGGGCGAAAGCCUGACGGAGCGACGCUGCGUGCGGGAAGAAGGCCUUCGGGUUGUAAACCGCUUUUCUGGCUGAUCAAGUCCAUUUUAUUAUGGAUUGAGCGUAGGCCAGGAAUAAGGGGCCGCUAAACUCGUGCCAGCAGCGGCGGUAAUACGAGUGCCCCAAGCGUUAUCCGGAAUUACUGGGCGUAAAGCGCUAAAAGGCGGUUUGAUAAGUCAGACGUCAAAUCUCCGAGCUCAACUCGGAGCCGGUGUCUGAAACUGUCUAACUUGAGGACGGAAGAGGCAAGCGGAAUGGCUGGUGUAGCAGUAAAAUGCGUUAAUAUCAGCUAGAACACCAAUGGCGAAGGCAGCUUGCUGGGACGUUCCUGACGCUAAAUAGCGAAAGCGUGGGUAGCGAAAGGGAUUAGAUACCCCU